rnacentral:lncRNA from 1 species
UUGUAAUGGUGAGGUUAGCACGUCUUGGGGGUAUGAUAUUUGUAAUGGUGAGGUUAGCACGUCAUGGGGGUAUGAUAUUUGUAAUGGUGAGGUUAGCAUGUCUUGGGGGUAUGAUAUUUGUAAUGGUAAGGUUAGCACGUCAUGGAGGGUAUGAUAUUUGUAAUGGUGAGGUUAGCACGUCAUGGGGUAUGAUAUUUAUAAUGGUGAGGUUAGCACGUCUUGGGGGUAUGAUAUUUGUAAUGGUGAGGUUAGCAUGUCUUGGGGGUAUGAUAUUUGUAAUGGUGAGGUUAGCAUGUCUUGGGGGGUAUGAU